rnacentral:rRNA from 1 species
AGAUUGAACGCUGGCGGCAUGCCUAACACAUGCAAGUCGAACGGGAGUAGCAAUACUCUAGUGGCGGACGGGUGAGGAAUACGUAGGAAUUUGCCCUUAAGUGGGGGAUAACCCGGGGAAACCCGGAUUAAUACCGCAUGACCUCGAAAGAGCAAAGUGGGGGAUCGCAAGACCUCACGCUUUUGGAGAAGCCUACGUCGGAUUAGCUAGUUGGUGAGGUAAUGGCUCACCAAGGCGACGAUCCGUAACUGGUCUGAGAGGAUGAUCAGUCACACCGACUGAGACACGGUCCGACUCCGUACGGGAGGCAGCAGGUAGGGGAAUAGUUGGACAAGUGGGG